AUAACGGUCCUAAGGUAGCGAAAUUCCUUGUCAGGUAAGUUCUGACCCGCACGAAUGGCGUAAUGAUUUGGGCACUGUCUCAACAGCCCGCCCGGCGAAAUUGUAGUACUGGUGAAGAUGCCAGUUACCCGCAACUAGACGGAAAGACCCCAUGGAGCUUUACUGCAGUUUAAUACUGGGAAUCGGUAAUGCAUGUACAGGAUAGGUGGGAGACUUGGAAGCAUGGUCGUCAGGCUAUGUGGAGUCACCGGUGGGAUACCACUCUUGUAUUGCUGGUUUCCUAACCUGCGGCCGUGAAUCCGGUCGGGGGACACUGUUAGACGGGCAGUUUGACUGGGGCGGUCGCCUCCAAAAGAGUAACGGAGGCGCUCAAAGGUUCGUUCAGCACGGACGGAAAUCGUGCAUUGAGUGUAAACGCAUAAACGAGCCUAACUGCGAGACCGACGGGUCGAGCAGUAACGAAAGUUGGAGUUAGUGAUCCGGUGGUAUGUGAGUGGAAAUGCCAUCGCUCAACGGAUAAAAGCUACCCUGGGGAUAACAGGCUGAUCUCCCCCAAGCGUCCACAGCGACGGGGAGGUUUGGCACCUCGAUGUCGGCUCGUCGCAUCCUGGGGCUGUAUUCGGUCCCAAGGGUUUGGCUGUUCGCCAAUUAAAGCGGCACGCGAGCUGGGUUCAGAACGUCGUGAGACAGUUCGGUCCCUAUCUGUUGCGGGCGUAGGAGAUUUGAAGGGAGCUGUCCUUAGUACGAGAGGACCGGGAUGGACAUACCUCUGGUGUACCAGUUGUUCUGCCAAGGGCACGGCUGGGUAGCUACGUAUGGACGAGAUAAACGCUGAAGGCAUCUAAGCGUGAAACUCCCCCUGAGAUAAGAUCUCCACUGAGGCUCGACGUAGACUAUGUCGUAGAUAGGUCAGAGGUGGAAGCACGGUAACGUGUGGAGCUGACUGAUACUAAUAAGCCGAAAGCUUGACCAA
rnacentral:rRNA from 1 species